rnacentral:rRNA from 1 species
UCUUUCAGCAGGGAAGAAGCGAAAGUGACGGUACCUGCAGAAGAAGCGCCGGCUAACUACGUGCCAGCAGCCGCGGUAAUACGUAGGGCGCAAGCGUUGUCCGGAAUUAUUGGGCGUAAAGAGCGUGUAGGCGGUCCGGUAAGUCGGUUGUGAAAGUCGGGGGCUCAACCCUCGGAGGCCGACCGAUACUGUCGGGCUAGAGUCCGGAAGAGGCGAGUGGAAUUCCUGGUGUAGCGGUGAAAUGCGCAGAUAUCAGGAGGAACACCGGUGGCGAAGGCGGAUCUCUGGGCCAUUACUGACGCUGAGGAGCGAAAGCGUGGGGAGCGAACAGGAUUAGAUACCCUGGUAGUCCACGCUGUAAACGAUGUGCGCUAGACGCUGGGGGUUCGGCCUUCGGUGUCGCAGCUAACGCAUUAAGUGCCCCGCCUGGGGAGUACGACCGCAAGGCUAAAACUCAAAGGAAUUGACGGGGGCCCGCACAAGCGGCGGAGCAUGCGGAUUAAUUCGAUGCAACGCGAAGAACCUUACCAAGGCUUGACAUGGACCGGACCGCCGCAGAGAUGUGGUUUCUCCUUUUGGGGCCGGUUCACAGGUGGUGCAUGGUUGUCGUCAGCUCGUGUCGUGAGAUGUUGGGUUAAGUCCCGCAACGAGCGCAACCCUCGUUCCAUGUUGCCAGCGCGUAAUG